rnacentral:rRNA from 1 species
CGUGUAGGCGGCUAGACAAGUCAGAUGUGAAAUCCCUGGGCUUAACCCAGGAAGUGCAUUUGAAACUGUCCUGCUAGAGUAAGGGAGAGGAAAGUGGAAUUCCUGGUGUAGAGGUGAAAUUCGUAGAUAUCAGGAGGAACACCGGUGGCGAAGGCGACUUUCUGGCCCUAUACUGACGCUGAGACGCGAAAGCGUGGGUAGCAAACAGGAUUAGAUACCCUGGUAGUCCACGCUGUAAACGAUGUUCACUAGGUGUUGGGGGUAUUGACCCUUUCAGUGCCGCAGCUAACGCAUUAAGUGAACCGCCUGGGGAGUACGGUCGCAAGAUUAAA